GGUUUGGGUGGAGGACAGUCAGAGCCUGCCAGGCCUGACAUCACUCAGGAGCCGUACCAGCAGGUGGGGCCUCAGCAGCAGCAGCAGCAGCAGCAGCAGGCCUGCGCCUGUGAGCUCGCAGAGUUUGUGGCCUGUGCCCUGGGCGACCUCAAACUCUGCGAGGGAUCCAGAGAGGCGCUCAAAAGGUGCAUGUCUGCUAAUGCCGGGCUCCACCAUCCCCACCCUC